UGUUUUUAUACGAGAAAAUGCGCGCCAGUUUUUAUUUUUUACGUUUUAUGUUUCACGCCGUUCUUAAUUUUCAAUUUCUGACGGCGACGUACGUCAUUCAUUUUAUGCGAUGGAAUAUGCUCAGAACAUUAUGAAUACUAUUCAGGAAAAGGUUUCUAAAAAGUUCUACGCGGAUCAUUUUGUGUGGUACCUAGAAAUUUAGUCGACUCUCAAAAUUUUCCGAUGUUGUCAAGCAAGUCAUCGGGAAAUUAAUCUGACUAAGCCAAAUCAAGACAUUCAAGAGAAAACAGAGCAUCCAAAUUUUAGAUAAGUAUAGAGAAUUUAUAUUAUUCCUGACAAUUGAACACGUAGAAAAAAAUUCUAUUCAAGUUUUCAGAAAAAAUAAAAAUAAAAAUAAAACCGUUGUUCAUAAUGCAGCGAUAGUCUGCAGUGAAUGAAAGUUGGAGUGCGUGACGAGGUUUAAAACAAAUAUUUAUGAUAAUAUAAUAUUAUGUGCAUUAUUAUUGUACCUAUUAGAUGCUGACAACUCGAAUUCGAGACACUGCACACGGAAAAAUAACUCCCUGAGAUGAUAGAUACGUAGAACACAACGACCUAACCUCGUUUCGACUGUGCCGCGGUGUUCAGUAACCAUUGUCUUUAGAUUUUUAACCCAAUGCUAAUGAUGAUAUAUAUAUUAUUACGUAACUAAUUUAAGUUUUUUUCGAAUACACGACUGUGCAUAUUAUUAUUGUAUAUACAUUUCGAGGACUCGGAGAAAUUUGACCAAGACGACAGUCAUCGCAAGCGGUUAUAAUGUAUUACUAUUAUAGGCAUUAAAUAGUUUCUCGAGGUUUGUCGGAAAUCAUAAAUUAAUAGGUAUACGUAUACAUGAAGAAAAAAACCAAGACGACCAUGUUUAUAUACAAAGUAAUUCUUUUAUCUUAGCGCAAACAUAAAUAAAUGUGAGGCAUUUUUUUUAGUUAUACUCGUAUUUUUUUCAUUUAAAGUUUGAGAACCCGUGUUUAUUCUAUGAAUAUUCUAAUAUAUAAUAGGAAUUUGAUCUUAAGGGUGUGAGAACCUACGUGUUUUUAAUACAACGAAAGUCUCUAGCAGGAAAAAUUCUCACGCUUCAUGAAAUGUCUGAAUUUAAUGAUUUUUUAAUAUACAAG